rnacentral:rRNA from 1 species
GUGUCAGCAGCCGCGGUAAUACGUAGGUGCAAGCGUUGUCCGGAAUUAUUGGGCGUAAAGGGCUCGCAGGCGGUUUCUCAAGUCUGAUGUGAAAGGCCCCGGCUCAACCGGGGAGGGUCAUUGGAAACUGGGGAACUUGAGUGCAGAAGAGGAGAGUGGAAUUCCACGUGUAGCGGUGAAUUGCGUAGAGAUGUGGAGGAACACCAGUGGCGAAGGCGACUCUCUGGUCUGUAACUGACGCUGAGGAGCGAAAGCGUGGGGAGCGAACAGGAUUAGAUACCCCCGUAGUCC